UACAGAGGUCCCGAGCGUUGUUCGGAUUCACUGGGCGUAAAGGGUGCGUAGGUGGCUUGAAAAGUUUGAUGUGAAAGCUCAGGGCUUAACCCUGAAAUGGCAUUGAAUACUGUCGAGCUGGAGGUUUGGAGGGGGGACUGGAAUUCCACGUGUAGCGGUGAAAUGCGUAGAGAUGUGGAGGAACACCAGUGGCGAAGGCGACUCUUUGGUCUGUAACUGACGCUGAGGCGCGAAAGCGUGGGGAGCAAACAGG
rnacentral:rRNA from 1 species